CCUGGGGCUGAUCUAAUCAGGCUCAUUAUCUGGUCACCAGGGAAAUGCCAGCUGUCAUUGCCCACUGAGCUGGGCCAUCAAUCAGUUUGUUCUGAGUUCAUUAAGUAAAUUAAAAGGUAUUGCUUAAAUACUUAGUAGAGGAGUAACAGCUCUCAUCUCAAGGAGCUAGUGAAAGCACUGGAUUUGGCCACAGCUAUUAGCUGUGUUGAGCUGUGAAAAAUGAGAAGAUUUGGAACUUAUAGCUCAACAUCAGAAACAAAAGGAGGCUCCAAAAUUUGAUAAAGAUGCCCAUACGCGCUAGUCCCCUCUCCCAUCAUAUUUGAGCAGUUAUUGCUGAUGAUACCUUUUAAAAUUCUAAACAGCAGAGUGGAUUCUCCCUCUUGCAGCCGGGAGCUGGCCCAUCCCUCUUGAAAUUAGACCCCACUGUAGUCAUAUAUUUCCUUUCCCCUGUGGUGAGGUGGACAUGAAUGUUAUUGUUAAAUCCUUGCCUGGAGAAAUGAAGGACCAAAUCUGAACAUGACAGCUGUAGGCUUGAGCAGCUUCACAUUAAAAUUGGUCUUGAGGCUUAGUUCCCUGUCUGUUGCAAAGCCCCGUGGGCAGGCUUUCCUCCCUCCACAUGGAGCUACAUGCCAUUAAUUCCUC
rnacentral:lncRNA from 1 species